ensembl:lncRNA
CUCUCUCUCACACACACACACACACACACACACAUUCAGAUGCUGAUUCUCACUUUCGGGAAAUGUAGAUUAGCCAGUCCACCUACAUGCAUGUUUUUGGGAGGAAAUUGGAGAACCUGGAGGGAACGCACACAGAGAGUAACCCAAGCUCAGGAUCGAACCAUUGAAUGUAUCUAGUCAGAGGGCCUGCUGACCUUCCGAGGCAGUCUCACUCAAUCUAGUUUGAAGGCUGGAGAAUUUCCAGGCUUGCAAACCCCUUCAAGACCUCUGGAUGCCGGCAGACAACGAGAGAGCCAAAUACAAUCUGAUGCAGGAGUGACUAAGCCAACACACACACACACACACACACACACACAAGCAGGAGCGCUGGAAUGCAAGAGUGGGCGUGCUAUAAGGAGCUGAGAACUGAUUUUUGGGGAAUUGGCUCUCUCUGCUGGUGUUGAAUCAUAUUAUACUGAAAGCUGAUUGUAGAGGCAGCAGAAACAUCUGGAACAAAACCAUAUUAAAGCAAUAUACAGACUUUUUAUAUCUAUUUUUUUUUUUUUUUUUACAACACAUCAUAACAUUAGCCUCCACAUACUACUCUAUAUCCCAC